rnacentral:rRNA from 1 species
GUUGACCUCGGAUCAGGUAGGACUACCCGCUGAACUUAAGCAUAUCAAUAAGCGGAGGAAAAGAAACCAACAGGGAUUGCCCCAGUAACGGCGAGUGAAGCGGCAACAGCUCAAAUUUGAAAUCUGGCCCCCGGGUCCGAGUUGUAAUUUGCAGAGGAUGCUUCGGGCGAGGUGCCUUCCGAGUUCCCUGGAACGGGACGCCACAGAGGGUGAGAGCCCCGUCUGGUCGGACACCGAGCCCGUGUGAAGCUCCUUCGAAGAGUCGAGUAGUUUGGGAAUGCUGCUCAAAAUGGGAGGUAUAUGUCUUCUAAAGCUAAAUAUUGGCCAGAGACCGAUAGCGCACAAGUAGAGUGAUCGAAAGAUGAAAAGCACUUUGAAAAGAGGGUUAAAAAGUACGUGAAAUUGUUGAAAGGGAAGCGCCCAUGACCAGACUUGGGCCCGGUGAAUCACCCGGCGUUCUCGCCGGUGCACUUUGCCGGGCACAGGCCAGCAUCAGUUUGGCGCGGGGGACAAAGGCUUCGGGAACGUGGCUCCCUCGGGAGUGUUAUAGCCCGCUGCGUAAUACCCUGCGCCGGACUGAGGUACGCGCAUCGCAAGGAUGCUGGCGUAAUGGUCAUCAGCGACCCGUCUUGAAACACGGACCAAGGAGUCGUCUUCGUAUGCGAGUGUUCGGGUGUCAAACCCCUACGCGGAAUGAAAGUGAACGCAGGUGAGAGCUUCGGCGCAUCAUCGACCGAUCCUGAUGUUCUCGGAUGGAUUUGAGUAAGAGCAUACGGGGCCGGACCCGAAAGAAGGUGAACUAUGCCUGUAUAGGGUGAAGCCAGAGGAAACUCUGGUGGAAGCUCGCAGCGGUUCUGACGUGCGAAUCGAUCGUCAAAUAUGGGCAUGGGGGCGAAAGACUAAUCGAACCUUCUAGUAGCUGGUUUCCGCCGAAGUUUCCCUCAGGAUAGCAGUGUUGGU